rnacentral:sRNA from 1 species
AUAUUCUCCCGAAAAGGGGGGAUGAGAACCCCCGACCGGGGUCCGACAACGGACAAUUGUCCGUUGGACAGAUGACGAGCCCGCGAGGAAGCUGCCCGCAGGGCGAGCGCAGCGAGUCAAUCCCCCCCUCACCGCCA